UGGAAACACACCUGACAUCAACACAGAUCGUAAUCUCACGAACGUUAAUGCCAUUCGCGUCAGAAAAUAAUUAGCUUAUAAACAGCAAACAUGUUCUGUCACCGAGUAAAAAUAGAUUGUCAGCAUUUUUACACAUUGGUGUUUUUACUUCACCCUGAAAAAAAGUGUAUGGAGAGGGUGUGUUAUGAACCUAGCUAACGUUAAGUGAGCUAAUAAACUGAAGUUGGUUAGCUUAAUGCUAACUGCUAAAGGAGCUAACAAACUCACCAACUGUCAGUGUGAUCUCGGGAGUCCGUGGCUGAGAUUUGUGCUGCGGAGCCACCUCUCCGAUGGCAGCCGGGCAGGGACAAACACUGCGGCGGCGCCACACCUGUUGCUCCUCCUGCUGUUGCUGUUGUGAGACGGUGUGCAGUCCCUGAAAGAGAAAGACUACAUCAACUUUUCCAUGGAUCGGGUGUCUGGAGGUUCAGUGAGUCAGCCUCUGGAGAAAUACCUAAAGGAGUCACAGUUGGAGGUCAUCACAGCAGUGGUCCUUCUUGAGCCUGAUAAAGUGAAUCACCAACUCCCUAAUGUUUCACCACAGUCCUCAAUCUUAUUACCUAACCUUGUGGGUCCAAACUUUUCAGUGAUGGACUCUCUUUAAGCUGAGCCAUUUUAAGCAGUUUGUGAGACUAUCAAGCCACGUUUCUCGUCAUGUUGAGUGGCCUGCAGGACAGGCCUGGACAGCAGCACUGUCUUUGGACAGAGCUGCACACUGGGGCCCACUGCCAGAUGUGGAGCAGUCCUCGCUCUGUACAGCUGCAAUAAUGCAUGCAAAGGAUUCACUAACUACAAUGAGCAUUUAAACCCCCAAAAAGCAGAAUAUCAAGACCAAAGUUUAAACCUGGCAACCACCAUCCAGGUACAUGAACCAACUGAGAUUUCUAAUGUUGGAAUUUAUUGUGGUGUAGUGACUCAAACAUGAGUUCUCCCAAAGUUGUAUGAAUCAUCAUUUUAUCUACAUUUUAUUUUCCUUUCCUUUC